GUCCGUGAGAUGCAGAGAACAGCGCAGCAGGGUUUGGACACAACAGUCUAUAUUCCAUAGUUUCUACUAGAACGCAGGAAUUGUGGGAAAGAGGUUACUUUUCGAUAUAAGUGUUGCCUUCGAUUUGCUGUGGAAUUCGUCCUUCGUGCAGGCUAAGGGACUCAGUAACCUCACCUUUAUUGGUUGCCAUGGCGGCCAAGGCAUCCAAAGGGAAGUGGGAGGCCCUAAAGGAGCACCUGACCAGCAGCCCCCCGGACCCAGAUGCUCACCUAGAGGCCAACUUGGAGAACGCAGAUCCAGAGCUAUGCAUACGACUGCUACAGGUACCCACGGUGGUCAACUACUCAGGGCUGCGGAGGCGUCUGGAGGGGAGUGACCAGGACUGGAUGGUGCAGUUCCUGGAGCUCAAUGGGCUGGAUCUGCUGAUGGAGGCCCUGGAAAGGUUGUCUGGCCGUGGGUGUGCCCGCAUCGCUGAUGCCAUCCUCCAGCUCACAUGUGUGGCCUGUGUGAAGGCAGUGAUGAACUCCUCCGCUGGGCUGCACUUUAUACUGGACAAUGAGGGAUACGUCAGGACCCUGUCACAAGCACUGGACACGUCCAACACCAUGGUGAAGAUGCAGGUGUUUGAGCUGCUGGCAGCCCUCACCAUGUUCAACCCACAGGGACACCACCUGGUCAUGGACGCCCUGGAUCACUAUAAAAGUGUGAAGAUCCACCAGUACCGCUUCAGCGUCAUCAUGAACGAGCUGCAUGCGACGGACAACGUGCCGUAUAUGGUCAUCCUCAUGAGUGUGGUCAACGUGAUCAUCUACAGGGUACAGGACCUGAGGAAGAGGGACAAACUACGCAAAGAGUUCAUCGGGCUACAAUUACUGGAUUUACUUCCAAAACUGAGGGAGACGGAUGAUGUGGACCUGAACAUCCAGUGUGAGACCUUUGAGGACACCAUGGCAUAUGAUGAUGCUGAGAUGGAGAGCAUGUACGGAGGUAUUGACAUGAGCAGUCACCAGGAAGUCUUCGCCAUACUCUUCACCAAAGUGAGUAGCUCCCCUGCCUCGGUGCAGUUGCUGUCCAUCCUGCACGCGCUGUUGUUGUUGGGGCCGGAACACAGCGAGGUGUGGUUGGCCCUGGAGGCCCUGGCUGACCGUGCUAGUCUGCUGGCACAGGAACCUGAAGUUGACUCCACCGAGCGCUUGAUGGAACGUCUGGUGUCCUCCAAGGCUCAGCAAGGGUCACCUAAGGUCAAGGUCAAGACCACAGACAGGGGCGUUCAGAUAGACCUGAGAGAAAGAUUGACCGAUCAUUUGGUCGUCCUCGUUAAAGGAUCUACCUCCCCUGUUGCCACCCCUCCUUCUCCUCCUCCACCACCACCACUACAAGGCAUGGCAGCUUUCGGCACACCCCCACCCCAACCUCCACCCCCACCACUUUUUGGCUUCUCUGGGAUGCUGUCCCUUCCCCCUCCCCCGCCUCUCCCCGGUCUCCCUCCUACCCAACCUCAUCUACCAGGGAUGGGGUAUGGGAGUCCACCGCCUCCCCCACCCCUGCCUGGCAUGGGUCCCUACCCACCACCACCACCACCCCUGCCUGGGAUGGGUCCCCCACCACCACCACCCCUGCCUGGGAUGGGUCCCCCACCACCACCACCCCUGCCUGGGAUGGGUCCCCCACCCCCACCACCACUGCCUGGUAUGGGCCCCCCACCUCCCCCUGGUGGUGGUGACAUGAUUAUGGCCCAGAGUGUGCAGACGCUGGGCCGAUCCUACUAUGCCCCUCCACCCAAGGCGGGCCGCUGCCCCACACUACGCAUGAAGAAGCUCAACUGGCAGAAGCUGCCAUCCAGAGUGGUGACUGACAGUCACUCCAUGUGGACAUCGGUACAGUCAGAUUCUCUGGAGCCUGACUACUCCAGUAUUGAGGAGCUCUUCUGUCUGCCAGUGACAGAGUCAAAGGCCAAAGGCAGCGCCCCUGCGGUCAAACAGGAGCCCAAAGAGAUUUCUUUCAUCGAUGCCAAGAAAAAUCUCAACCUGAACAUAUUCUUAAAACAAUUCAGAUGCUCACAUGAGGACAUUGUGGCCAUGAUCCGAAAAGGGGACCGCUCCAAGUUCGAUGUGGAGGUGCUGAAACAGCUACAGAAGCUACAACCAGAGAAGCAUGAGAUGGAUAACCUCACGUCCUACCAGGGAGAGAGACAGAAGUUAGCUGGUGUGGACCAGUUUUAUCUACAGCUCCUAGCUGUUCCUUGCUAUGCCCUGAGGAUCGAGUGCAUGUUGCUGUGUGAGGAGAUCAGCUCAGUGUUACAGAUGAUGCAGCCUAAAGCCGAGCUGCUGGAUGAGGCCUGUGAGAGUCUGAGGGUGAGCACUCGACUGCCAAGCUUCUGCAAGCUCAUUCUGGACGUUGGAAACUUUCUUAACUACGGGAGCCACACGGGGAACGCGGAGGGCUUCAAGAUCGGAACCCUGCUAAAGCUCACUGAGACCAAGGCCAAUAAAAGUCGCAUAACUCUGCUCCACCACAUCCUACAGGAGGCGGAGCAGAACCAUGAUGACCUGUUGAACCUUCCAGAUGAUUUGGAGAUCUGUGAAAAGGCUGCUGGUGUGAAUCUGGAGUCUAUCCAGACAGAGGUGAGCUCGCUCAUCAAGCGGUUGAAAGAUUCAGAGAAGAAGGUGGCUUCCUCUUCUGUGGAGGACAUCAAGGAGCAGUAUCUAACAGCAAUGCAGGGAAGCCUGGAGGCCUGCAGGGAGCUGGAGGAGAGGUUUUUCUCCAUUGACAGGAAGAAGGAGGAUCUGGCACUGUAUCUGUGUGAGGACUCAUCCCGUCUCUCUCUGGAGGAGCUGUUCAGCACUAUAAAGACCUUCAGGGGACUCUUCAUCAAAGCUCUCAAGGACAAUCAGACCCGCCGAGAGCAAGCCAUCAAGGCAGAGAAGAGGAAGAAACAGCAGGAGGAGGAGGAUUCCAAGCGACCAAGAGGGGAUAACGGGAAGAUAAUUCGUAAAGCCCCCCCAGUCCAGGAAGAGGGCUGCAUAAUCGACCACCUGCUAUCUGACAUCAGGAAGGGCUAUGCACUGAGGAAUACCAGGCCCCGGGCCGACAGGACAAGCCUGCCCUCUGCAGACAAGAAAAGGGACAGCAGUCUGCCGGAGCAGGGCACACAGCCUGAGGGAUUGCCUGCUAUAGAUGCUAAAGAUGGAGAUGAAAAGGUGACAUCACCCAAUGACCAAAGACAACAAGACAGAGAUUCAGUCGUAGGGGAGUCCUCAUCCGGCCUCCCCACACACCCCUCACUUAUUUCACAUUCACCCGAAACCUUAGGCCCCUCAGACCUCCAUACCACCACCACCAAGGACCAGGGAACCUGUGAUCACACACAGAGUGAGGACCUCAAACCUGGGAUGGAUUCCUUGGCUGACCGCCUGGUCGAGGAGGAGUCCCCAGAGGUGGAGAGGGUUAAGGCUGCUGAUUCAGAGGUUGAGGAUGUGAACAGGAAUGCAUUCUCAGUUGGUGGGGAUGUUCCAAAGAGCGGAGACACAGAGAUAGAUGGGAACCAGGAAAGUGGACUUGAUGGAAAGGGGUUAGAGGAGAGUCAAUCAUCAGAGUCCCCCUCAAACACAGCUGCUGGUGACGCAGAGCCCAAACCACAGGCACAGAAACGGGGGGAUACUAAGAGACAUAGAGAAGGCUUUUCAGAAUCCCAGAAACACCAUCCACUAACCCUGCAUGGAUCUAACCAGGUAGCCUAGUGGUUAGAGCUUUGGACUAGUAACCGAAAGGUUGCAAGAUCAAAUCCCUGAGCUGACAAGGUGGACGCAAGAAGAAGGACAAGACCAAAGGCAAAAAGAAACAAUGAAUGUUGACGCCAUCUUCCAGUGCUCCACCCCUGUCUGCCAAACAAAUACUAUGGUAUACAUUAACAUUAUACUGUACUUACAAAUAUCUAUAUCAGCCAUGCAUGUUUUUCCUACUUUUUUCAAAGGAUUACCUAAUGAACCUAGGUGAUGCUUGUUUUUCCAAAAUGGAGACUUCCUUAUUAACCCCCUAUAGUGGGGUCUUUGUAUGAUUUACUACAUCAAUAACAGGAUUUGACAAUGAUAUGACAGGAACUGCUUUGCAACCAACCCCAGGAAGUAUGGAUGAUGAUGAUGAUGGGAUAAUUUGCAUGUUACAAUUUCAUCAUGGACAUUCAAUGUAUUGGACACAAUUUCAUUGAAAUAUUAUACAUUAUUUGACAAAAAUCAACAUGUCUAUAAUAAUAGAAUGUUUCAAUUUGAUACUGAGACAAAUGUUUACAGUAGGUCUACAUGUUAUGUUUACUUGUUGAUACAGACUCUCGUUUCAUUUGGCAAAUAGAGGGCCCCUCAUUUCAUUUGGCAAAUAGAGGGCCUCUUUUGCCUACAGCCAAGCAUUGUUGUAAUGACUGUAAUGAAUAUUGGUUCAUGAUCAGUUAGCCAUUAAAUAUAAAAGGUAACAGCAUAGAUAGACCAUAAUAAUAAACUCACCUGUUUUUCCAGAAACAACAAUGUUAUAGUGAUAAUUUGCUCUAGUCUCUUUUGUAACAGUUAUUGUUUCUUAUUGCACUCUGCAUUAACACUGUCAUUUAAAAAAGGCUAUGCUAAUCAGGGAUUUAAUAGGCUAUAAAAAUACUCUAAAUACAAUAAAAUAAUCUGAUACACUC